UACGAAGGAUGCGAGCGUUAUCCGGAUUUAUUGGGCUUAAAGGGAGCGUAGGCGGUCUUAUAAGUCAGUGGUGAAAUCCUAUCGCUUAACGAUAGACGUGCCAUUGAUACUGUAGGACUUGAGUACAGAUGCCGUUGGCGGAAUGUGUCAUGUAGCGGUGAAAUGCAUAGAUAUGACACAGAACACCGAUUGCGAAGGCAGCUGACGAAACUGUAACUGACGCUGAGGCUCGAAAGCGUGGGGAGCAAACAGG
rnacentral:rRNA from 1 species